AUCCAGCUGACGAGUCCCAAAUAGUACGAAACGCGCGUCCUGGAC
rfam:Schistosoma mansoni strain Puerto Rico chromosome W, complete genome